GCUCUUCUCCAGAAGCGGGGCUUCCUCCUUUGGACAUGCUCGGAAGAUGCUCCUGAGGGAAAAGGUCCGCGAGAUGUUUUACCAUGCUUAUGACAAAUACAUGGCUCAUGCUUUUCCGCAUGAUGAGUUAAAGCCUCUUACCAAUACUUACACCGACUCCCUUAGCGAGCUUGGAAAUCUAAAUCUUGAACACCUGCCACAGUAUUAUAAUGGAUCUGCCUUGACGCUUAUUGAAUCAUUAUCUAGGUAUACUUCCUGAGCUCUUCACCUCGUUUGACUUGCAGAAA